CGGAAAUCCAGCUUUCCGGGGGGGCGGGGGGCGAGGCUCCCGGCCCGGGGGACGAGCACUAUCUUUCCAAUCGUGGUCCACAGAGGAGGAAAUCCUAGAAGGGAGGCUUCAAGUUGGGAACCAAUGCUUUGGGAUUGUGCAGCAGGGAUUGUGCAGCCACUGGAUUCACUGAGUAGGUGACUGAGCAGAUUUCUCCAGGAAUUUCCUCGCUCCCCUCUUACCCCCGCCCCCACUCACCAUUACUCAGCUGGU